UGAGCAACCUGCCCUUGACUCUGGAAUAACAGCUGGAAACAGCUGCUAAUACCGGAUACGACCUCCGAUGGCAUCAUCUGGAGGUGGAAAGCUCCGACGGUCAAGGAUGGGCUCGCGGCCUAUCAGCUUGUUGGUGAGGUAACGGCUCAUCAACGGU
rnacentral:rRNA from 1 species